GCAACCUCCACCUCCCGGGUUCAAGCAAUUCUCCUGCCUCAGCCUCCUGUGUAGCUGGGAUUAUAGGCGCACGCCACCAAGCCCAGUGACCUCGCCAACCGACGCGGCCGCCCCGCCACGCCCCCGCCCGCCCGAUCUCCUCCGCCGGCCACGUACGCCACUUACGCAGCCGGGGCGUCCCCGCCGCCGCCGCCAAGCCUGCCGGGUGCAUCCUUCGCCGCCGCCGCCGCCUAAGCCGCGGUUCGGAGCGUGCCCGCCCGGCUCCCGUACCCACGCCCGCCGGCGAAGAGACAGCCAAUGGACGUCAGGAUUGAGGGAAGGCCUCGGCGCCCCCCGCCCCCCAACGGAGGCCUGGACGAGUGGGCGGUGCCUUACAGAUAGGGUCUCUCUCCCAAGCAUAGCUCACUGCAGCCUCGAACUCCUGGGCUCAAGCAAUCCUCCGACUUCAGCCUCCCGAGUAGCUGGGACAACAGGCGUGGGUCACUCUUGUGACAGUCUCCCAGUUAGAUUGGGAGCCCCAUGAAUGCAUGGCACAGGACGGUCUCAUCAUUACUGAGUCUCCAGGAUCAUCCAGCGAGAGGUCGACACAAAGUGGGCGUCGAACAAAGCUUUGGUGAGUAGCUAAGGAUCCCCACUCUGUCCACACGGGCAUAGGGGACACCUGACCCUGUGGUGUCCGCUGU